CUUCCUUCUUUCAUGCCCCUCCCCUUACUGAUGACAGCCGGCCCCCCUCCAUCCCCUGCCCCUCUUGCUUCCUCUGCUCGACAGCUCUCCAUUCAAAUUUGUCGGGAAUCAAGAUUCUACACCCUCGUGAGCUGCGCAAGUACCGCCCCCCAACCCCUGCAUCUCCACAUCUGUCACAGUCGAGAUAAAGGGGAACCGGGCAUCCCAAUCUGGGCCUCUACCUCAGAGCUUCACUUCUUAAGCGGAUUCAGCAUGCUUUCAAUCAUACCCAUAACCAGUCAAAGCUGAGAUGGCUCCCAAGGGUGAAGGCAUAGUUGAGUGGACAGACGAGCUUGCUUUCAUUGACAUCAUGGUUGAUAAAUUCCAAAGGACGCAUACAUCAAGUUGGAAAUUGAAGGACUGAGAACAUAUCAGUAGGGAACUGGAAGAGAAAUUUCCUGGUGUGAUUCUUGACGCCGAAAAGGUGGAAACAAAAGCACAAAGGCUGAAGACAUAGUACAGUCAGUUCACAGAGCUGAUUCAGCACACUGGAGUAGGAUGGGAUGGGCCAACCAACACCGUGAAGGCGAAUCCUGAUAUUUGGGACAAGUUUAUCAAGAGGCACAACAACUUCAGGACUUUUCGGUCGAAAGGCUGCAAGCAUUAUGAGGCCUUAAAACUGAUGUACAAAUAUGCUACAACAUCAGGGGCCUACGAAUUUCUUCAACCGACCCACCUCAGAGCCCCUGAUCCUAUGCACGCAUAGAAGUUGAAUUUCUAAAAAGGAGGAACAGCCGUGGCAAAGAGCCUAUCGAUCUAGCAGAGGGCUCCGGCGACAGUGAUGAUCCCGUUCAUGAAGUUGAUAAACCUGUCGUUACAGGCUCUAGGCGGUGAGUGGUUCGCACACCAAUACGCAGUUGCAGGAGUUGAUCGACUUGUACAGGGAAAGUAAGACCAAGAAGGACAAAGCGAAAAAUUCUACCCUUCCAGAGUCAAAGAAGAGCAAGUUAGUGACGAGCCCCGAGAAACCAGCACGGAUAGCAUCAUCGAAGCCAUGGAUGUGCUCAAUAAAAUGCAGUGAACAAUUUCCGUACACGAGUAUCUCACCGGUACAGCACAUAUUACGGAGGAUGACCGAUGGCGACAGACGUUCGUUUGCAUGUACGAUGAAGAUAGGCGCAAAUGGCUGCACAGCCUUGUUCGUCCUUGAAUGGCUGAACGUUUCUCCUCAUAUGUGUUUCUUAUUUGUGAUUUCCGUUUUUCUAUUAUGACAUUAACCAAACUCUUGUUUUGCAUUUGUUAUGUUUGAACCUGAUUGACUUUAAUUUGUUUCGUGUGAAUAUCUGUGAUGUGUUCUUUUAUGGUUUUCAUUGAUAAUGCAUUGGAUAUAUGUUUGAAACAUAA